GCGUAAUAGCUCACUGGUCGAGUCGGCCUGCGCGGAAGAUGUAACGGGGCUAAACCAUGCACCGAAGCUGCGGCAGCGACACUAUGUGUUGUUGGGUAGGGGAGCGUUCUGUAAGCCUGCGAAGGUGUGCUGUGAGGCAUGCUGGAGGUAUCAGAAGUGCGAAUGCUGACAUAAGUAACGAUAAAGCGGGUGAAAAGCCCGCUCGCCGGAAGACCAAGGGUUCCUGUCCAACGUUAAUCGGGGCAGGGUGAGUCGACCCCUAAGGCGAGGCCGAAAGGCGUAGUCGAUGGGAAACAGGUUAAUAUUCCUGUACUUGGUGUUACUGCGAAGGGGGGACGGAGAAGGCUAUGUUAGCCGGGCGACGGUUGUCCCGGUUUAAGCAUGUAGGCUGGUUGUCCAGGCAAAUCCGGAUAAUCAAGGCUGAGGUGUGAUGACGAGGCACUACGGUGCUGAAGUAACAAAUGCCCUGCUUCCAGGAAAAGCCUCUAAGCAUCAGGUAACAUCAAAUCGUACCCCAAACCGACACAGGUGGUCAGGUAGAGAAUACCAAGGCGCUUGAGAGAACUCGGGUGAAGGAACUAGGCAAAAUGGUGCCGUAACUUCGGGAGAAGGCACGCUGGUGUGUAGGUGAAGCCCCUGCGGGUGGAGCUGAGACCAGUCGAAGAUACCAGCUGGCUGCAACUGUUUAUUAAAAACACAGCACUGUGCAAACACGAAAGUGGACGUAUACGGUGUGACGCCUGCCCGGUGCCGGAAGGUUAAUUGAUGGG
rnacentral:rRNA from 1 species